UACAGAGGUCUCAAGCGUUGUUCGGAUUCAUUGGGCGUAAAGGGUGCGUAGGCGGCGUCGUAAGUCGGGUGUGAAAUCUCGGGGCUUAACUCCGAAAUUGCAUUCGAUACUGCGGUGCUUGAGGACUGGAGAGGAGACUGGAAUUCACGGUGUAGCAGUGAAAUGCGCAGAUAUCAGGAAGAACACCAAUGGCGAAAGCAGCUCUCUGGGACGGUACUGACGCUGAGACGCGAAAGCGUGGGGAGCGAACAGG
rnacentral:rRNA from 1 species